GCCGGCUGAAAACACGUCAUCCAUCUUAGAGCAGAAUGCCAGGAUCCACAAUGAAAACUUGCAUAUCUUGCAAGCAACACGUCUGUCUUUGUGGGGCACAGCAGCCCAUGAAAAAAAAAAUCAUCAAGGCAAAGAACAAGGCUACGAAGGAAUGGGGAGAGGAGCUGAAGAAAGGGGGCAAUAUUGCCAAACUUUUUGAUGCUGCACGGAUUCUGACCCUGCACCUGCA